GCCUCGGUAGCCUAGCCGGGUUAGGGCGCCUCCUUGGUAAGGAGGAGGUCCCGGGUUCAAAUCCCGGCCGAGGCUCCA
rnacentral:tRNA from 1 species